CGCCCCGGGCUGCGUUUCUUGGCGCCGCGCGCGCCUGACCGGCCUGGAGGAGCGCUGGGCAGCUGGCGAAUCCCUGCCCGUGGCUGUCGAAGGGCCGCUCCUCCCUCAGUGCCGACUGUGGGCGGCGGACGCGCCAAACCCCGCCUGGCGUGGGACUUUCGCGUCCCCACUACGGUGACGGCGGAAGGCGCGCCCCUGCCCCACGUGGGAUCCUUCCCGGGCUGCCGUGCUCCCUCGGAGGGGGGGCGCCCGGCGGCGUCCCUGCUGCUGCGGCUCCAUGCAUCGGCCCUUCGCGGCCGGCACAGAGGGGAUCUCAGUUUAAAGUCUAGGUCCUGCCACUCACAGCUUAGGAAGCCAAUGACUGAGACCAUGAUCUCACUGCACAGGAAGCCAAUGACUGAGAUGAUUGUUGGGUGAUGCAGCCUGGAAGAUGGGAGGGUCUCCUUCAAACACCUGCAAAGCAUAUUGAUUGGAGAGCUUCUGACCAAUUUGGGGAUCCUCCAGGCAUCAUCUCAAAUUUGAGGUAUCCCAACGAAGCGUAUGGCAUGGUUAAUUGAGACUAUUUAUGAAGACUGUGGUCCCAAAUGGAGGUAUGAGGAUAAGCAGUUGAUAGAAGGUGCUCAAACAGAAAUCACCAUUACCUUGAACAAACACAUGCUGAGUCUCUUUGGGGACUGCUUGUCUGGCUGAAGCACCUCCACGGUACCUGGAAGCCUGAUUUUCAUAAGCAUCACUGAUGUUGGGUCAUAGAGGAUUUGCGACUGAAGACUUUUCCACAGGUGCUGCACUCGUGGAGCUUCUCUCCAGGGUGCACUCUCUGAUGGUGAGUGAGCCACCUUUUCUGCAGGAAAGUUUUCCUACAUGCAAUGCACUCAUGGGGCUUGUCUCCAUUAUGAAUUUUCUGAUGCUGAUUAUGGGAUGAGCCGUCAAAGAAAACCUUCCCACACUCAUUAUCUUCGGAAUGCGUCUCUACAGUGUGCACUGUCCUGUGUCGAAUGAGGGAUGACUGGUCCAACAGAGCUCUGCCCUGCCCCUGCAUUCCUAGGGCCACUCUCCAGGGCGGGUUAGCUGUGGCCGGAAUAGCUUUCCCGCUGAAGGGCUCUCCACACGCUGUGCGUUCAUAAGGACUUUCUCCAGGAUGAGUUCACCGAUGUCCAGUAAGGGUUAAUCAGUUGUAGAAAGUUUUCAUUGCAUUCAAAGGGGCUCUUCCCAGGGUGUGACAGCAGUGUUUCUUUUUUCAUUUUUAAUUAAUGUUAUAGAGACAAGGUCUCACUGUGUUGCCCAAGCUAGUCUCAAACUCCUAGGCACAAGUGAUCCUCCCAAAGUGCUGGGAUUACAGGCAUGAACCACCACGCCGGCUGACAUCAGGUUUUUCUUAAGGCUCCUACAGCUGAAGCCUUUUCUGCUUUCUUUUUUGUUUUUUCUUUUUUAUUAUACUUUAAGUUCUAGGGUACAUGUG